UCACUUCAUAUAUUAUUUCCAAUCAUGUUUUCAUGGAAAAUAAUUAAUAAAAACAUUUCUGCUUACAGAAAUUAAUUACCAUAAAAAUAUAAUUUGUAGUAAUUAAUAAUUCCAAAAUUAUUUCUAAUUUUUCAAGUAAUAAAUAUAUUCGCAUUUAUCGUUCACAUUACUAGACACUUAUUCUCGUCAUUAAAUAAAAAAAAAUUUAUACGCAAAUUUCUUAUUUAUUUUAUUUAGGAAAUCUCGGGUUAUUACAUUCACCCUCCCUUAUAAGGAUAUCGUCCCCGGAAUCACCGCUUUAAAACUCAUACACAGAAGAGUACAUAACACAUAUAAUCCUUGCACAUAGACCUCGAUCAAUACUUG
rnacentral:lncRNA from 1 species